AUCCUUUCUGAGUGACUCAUUUGAACUGGGACAAUUAAUCUUAAUCAGGACGGCAUGACAGCAGAAGACAUCCACAGUGAGGCCACUGCUUCAUCAGAGGAGCUGAAGCUGGCAGCACAUAGAGCAACUCCAGUAGGUUUCCAGAUGGAAAACUAUAAUACUUUCUGGGGAAGAUGAAUAAAGGACCAACUAUAGCCCUGGGCCACAUGUACGGGGGUGCCCUGGAGCUGAGCCAACCUGAGCUGCUCCCGUCACUGGAACAACAGCCUCAGAGGUUCUGUGCCAACAGAAAUGAUGCAAAAGAACUGAGAGCCAGGUGUGUCCAGAAUGAGUCACCAAACAGGAAGAGCAGAUAAGACAGAAGCACGUUGAACAGUGGAAAGGUAGGUGCAGACAUGAAGGAUCUGAUGUCAUGCCCUGGAUCCAGUUAGUGGCAUGCGAUUAGCACCCAAUUGACUUGUUUCCCUGAAUCAAGUGCGUGUUUUUUAAGUUGGAGAUCCACACCUGAUCCAUUCCUGCUUUAGUAAGAAAUUAG
rnacentral:lncRNA from 1 species